rnacentral:rRNA from 1 species
AUUGAACGCUGGCGGCAGGCCUAACACAUGCAAGUCGAGCGAGCGGCGGACGGGUGAGUAAUGUAUGGGGACUGCCCGAUAGAGGGGGAUAACUACUGGAAACGGUGGCUAAUACCGCAUACUAUCGGAUAACCCAUAUGGGAUUAGCUAGUAGGUGGGGUAAAGGCUCACCUAGGCGACGAUCUCUAGCUGGUCUGAGAGGAUGAUCAGCCACACGUGGACUGAGACAAGGACCAGACUACACCGGACGUAGACAUGGGGAAUGUUGAAAAAUGGGCGGAAGCUUGCUGCAGCCAUGCCGCGUGGAGGAAGAAGGUCUUUGGGUUGUAAAGUACUUUCAGCGGGAAGGCGUUACACGCAGUAAAAGCACCGGCGAACUCCGUGCCAGCAGCCGCGGUAAUUC